AUGGAGAGCCCCACAUCGGCGGCGUCGCGGGUGGACUUCUACGGCUUCCUCGACCGCAUGCGCCGCCCGGAGGCCGCCGACCUCUUCCGCUCCAUCAAGAGCUUCCUCGCCUCCCUCUCCCUCGACGAGCCCAGCGCGGAGGCGGACGGCGCCAGGGUCCAGGCCUUCUUCGCGGAGAUGGAGGCAGCCAUCCGGGGGCACCCGCUCUGGGCCGACGCCACCCACCAGGAAAUCGACCACGCGCUCGAGGGCCUCGAGAAGUACAUCAUGACCAAGCUGUUCGACCGCACCUUUGCGGCGUCGCCGGAGGACGCGGCGGCCGACGCCGAGGUCUCGGACAAGAUCGGCCUCCUGCAGCGCUUUGUCAGGCCCCAUCACCUCGACAUACCCAAGGUCCUCAACAACGAGGCUUCCUGGCUGAUUGCAGUUAAAGAACUACAGAAGAUUAAUUCCUUCAAGUCCCCGUGGGAGAAGCUUCUCUGUAUGAUGAGCUGUUGCCAAGUCAUCAAUAACUUGCUGCUAAACGUGUCCAUGACAAAUGACCGGACACCGUCUGGCGCUGAUGAGUUCCUUCCCAUUCUCAUUUAUAUUACCAUCAAGGCCAAUCCUCCUCAGCUGCACUCAAAUCUGAAGUUUGUUCAACUCUUCAGAAGAGAAACUAAGCUUGUUUCAGAAGUCGAAUACUAUCUCACAAACCUCAUUUCAGCAAAGAUGUUUAUAAUUAAUGUUAAUGGCCACUCGCUAUCCAUAGAAGAAAGUGAGUUUCAGAAGCAUAUGGAAUCUGCAAAACUAGGCACUCAGAUGUCUGUUGCUAGCCCUAGUAGUUCACAAGGGUUGGCUACAUCUACGAGCGGAUUACAGAAGCAAAUUGAUGCAGAAGCAGGUUCAAGAUUCCCUUUCAUGGACUCGGAAACUGAAAAUCUGACGCAAGCGGAACUGAAGCAGUUACAUGGGCUCUACAGGAAGACAGUGACCAGAUAUACACUGUUGUCUAAAGCCUUAAGAAAGUUAUCCAUAGAUGAGGAUCAGCUCCUCGCAUCAGUAGAUGAUUCAUGA
rnacentral:rRNA from 1 species